rnacentral:rRNA from 1 species
GACGAACCUUGCUAACGUUAUUCGGAAUUACUGGGCUUAAAGGGUGCGUAGGCGGUGCAGCAAGUCGGGUGUGAAAUCCUGGAGCUCAACUCCAGAACUGCCUUCGAUACUGGCGAUCUCGAGUUCGGGAGAGGUGAGUGGAACUGCGAGUGUAGAGGUGAAAUUCGUAGAUAUUCGCAAGAACACCAGUGGCGAAGGCGGCUCACUGGCCCGAUACUGACGCUGAGGUGCGAAAGCGUGGGGAGCAAACAGG